UUCCCAUUUGAUGAGCAAAGUGUGCUUGAGAGUCCAGUUCAAAACUUCACUGAUAUCAUGGAAGCCAGUAGGAAGCAAAGCUGAGGUUUGUGUUUAUUUUGUACAAUUUAAUUAAUUAAUUUAUUUUUGAGACAGGGUUUUGCUUUGCUGCCUAGACUGGAGUGCAGUGGCUCAAUGAUGGCUCACUGCAGUCUGGACCUCCUGGGCUCAGCAAUCCCUCCUCCCCCAGUAUCUGGGACUACAGGUGUGCAACACCAUGUCCAUAUAAUUUUUUUUUUUUUUUUUGAGACAGAGUCUCGCUCUGUUGCCCAGGCUGGAAUGCAAUGGUGUGAUCCUGGCUCACAGCAACCUCACUUCCUGUGUUCAAGCGAUUCUCGUGCCUCAGCUUCCCGAGUCGCUGAGAUUACAGGUGUGCAUCACCACACUCGGCUAAUUUUUGUAUUUAUUUUUUGUAGAGAUGGGGUUUCACCAUGUUGGCAAGGCUGGUCUCGAACUCCUAACCUCAAGCAGUCUGCCAGGCGUGGCCUCCUAAAGUGCUGGGAUUACAGGCAUCCGUCUCCGCGUUCUGCAGCACAGCUGAGAUUUGCAUCUGAGUCUCCAGGUGGCUUCUCAGGGUUGGCAGAACUGAGCACAGGAAAGGAGCACUUUACAUGGCAGCAGAAGGAGGUCAGCGCUCCCCCCACUUCUCCAGCGCCGCGUGCGGAGAGACAAAGAAAUUGAUUUUCCAAUCGAUGCUCUGAGCAAUGAUUAAAUGUUCUCUGCACAGCGGGCCUAAUGAGUCCCCAAGGGGCGUGCCGGCCCUUUAAUUAGAGACUCCCACGGGGGCCUGAGAUGGGGGCUGCCCUGGAGUGAGGGGGUCCAGCCAGGGAGGAGGCCCCAUCUCCAGGAAUCGGUGGCCUGGGCCUCUGAGAGAUACUGUUUGGGGGCCCCUGGGCAUAGAGACCCAGCGGAGGGGUCCCUAGGCAGGGGGACCCCACAGAGUAGCUCCCGGGCUGAGAGGUCCCUUGGAGGGGCCCCUGAGCUGAGCCCUCGAGGAAGAACCUGGGCUACAGGGAUGGAGGCUGAAGGCCCCCGAGUGAAUGCACAGAUUUACCCACCAUCCAGGCAGCCAGCAGUCCUUUCCGUCAGUUCAGCUCCCCCAUCUGCGGCGGCGGCGGCGGAGACCCAGACAGGAAAUGAAUCCCCUCUAAGCGGCUGCUGCGUUCUCCUCACCCAGCUGCCCCAUUGGAGAAGCCGACUGAAGACUUUAGAAAUUCAAAUGAGGCUCUCGGGGGAGAGCGAGUCUUAAACAUUCCCCUGCGCA